GUGCCAGCCGCCGCGGUAAUACGCAGGGUGCAAGCGUUACUCGGAAUUACUGGGCGUAAAGCGUGCGUAGGUGGUUCGUUAAGUCUGCCGUGAAAGCCCCGGGCUCAACCUGGGAAUUGCGGUGGAUACUGGCGGACUAGAGUGCGGUAGAGGGUGGUGGAAUUCCCGGUGUAGCAGUGAAAUGCGUAGAGAUCGGGAGAAACAUCUGUGGCGAAGGCGGCCACCUGGACCAGCACUGACACUGAGGCACGAAAGCGUGGGGAGCAAACAGGAUUAGAUACCCGAGUAGUCC
rnacentral:rRNA from 1 species